rnacentral:rRNA from 1 species
UGACCGUACUUGAGGAAUCAGCCUCGGCUAACUCCGUGCCAGCAGCCGCGGUAAUACGGGGGAGGCAAGCGUUAUCCGGAAUUAUUGGGCGUAAAGCGUCCGCAGGUGGUCAGCCAAGUCUGCUGUCAAAUCAGGUUGCUUAACGACCUAAAGGCGGUGGAAACUGGCAGACUAGAGAGCAGUAGGGGUAGCACGAAUUCCCAGUGUAGCGGUGAAAUGCGU